rnacentral:lncRNA from 1 species
GAGCCUGCCCUACAGGAUGGCUGAUACAUUUACUAUGAGAGUCAAUUUAAGAAAAUUGGCUUCCCUUACGAGCACAAGGAACCUGGACUACUUCCUAGACAAUAUAUUUUAAAAACUGAAUAUUUUUUGUUACUAUAUCAUAAAGCUCUUUCGAUGUAAGAAUAUGCAGUAGUAACAGCCAAUCCAGUGACCUGACAGACAGAACCCGAUGAGGUGUUUCUAAAUUCAACAGUCAUUUCAAACUGCCAACGAGUGGCCAGUGUCAAUCAGCUGUGACAUAAUCGUUAGAGUUAAUUCUCUCCCUUUGAUUAUUUGCAGUAUAUAACAGGGCAAGUAAAAUCUACAUAAAUACUAAUACUGAGUCAAACCAGGAGGACGCCAUUCUUACAGUUUCCGUGUGUAUCCCCAGCUUCACCAUUCCCCAUUAUAUAUUGAUAGAAAGUUUGAGAAAUGGAUGGAGAAGAAAUCACUCCAGCUUAUGGAAGUUGGCAGAACAAAGUGGGAAUUUUUCCUUAUGCUAAAGACAAUGCGAAGAUUGCUGAAUGACUAUAAAAAUAAUGGGCCUCAGAGCCAAUAAAAACAAAACAACAAAAGUCUAUAGUCAAGUCUAUAAGCAAAGGAUUAAGAUAGUCUUGAAAUAAUUUUUUGUGACGUU